AUCAACUGUCCAAAUACUGGUAGUGCAGCAGAACUCUUCUAGCUCUUGCAUGUUUCCAUCCUUGAUUCCAAGAAACCUCAAAACCAUCAGAACACAAGCAAGACCGCAGUCCCACGAAUGUAAUUGGUUUAUAUGCGGAACAUCAACAAAGUAUGAGCCGGAAACUGUGCCGUGGAAUUCAUCUCGACCCAAUGAUUGUUUUAAGACCAAACUUAAAUGCUCCCUUUCUGAUUCUUCGGUGUUAUCUUCUUCUGUUCCCAAAAACUUGCUCAAUAGAACAAAUAAUGGCCACAUCUCA
rnacentral:misc_RNA from 1 species